GACGAACGCUGGCGGCAUGCCUAAUACAUGCAAGUCGAGCGAACAGAUGAAGUGCUUGCACUCCUGACGUUAGCGGCGAACGGGUGAGUAACACGUAAGGAAUCUACCUAUAAGCGGGGGAUAACAUUCGGAAACGGGUGCUAAUACCGCAUAAUAUCUUCUUCCGCAUGGAAGAAGAUUGAAAGACGGCUCUGCUGUCACUUAUAGAUGACCUUGCGGUGCAUUAGUUAGUUGGUGGGGUAACGGCCUACCAAGACGAUGAUGCAUAGCCGACCUGAGAGGGUGAUCGGCCACAUUGGGACUGAGACACGGCCCAAACUCCUACGGGAGGCAGCAGUAGGGAAUCUUCCGCAAUGGGCGAAAGCCUGACGGAGCAAUGCCGCGUGAGUGAAGAAGGCCUUCGGGUCGUAAAACUCAGUUAUAAGAGAAGAACAAAUUGUAGAGUAACUGCUACAGUCUUGACGGUAUCUUAUCAGAAAGCCACGGCUAACUACGUGCCAGCCGCCGCGGUAA
rnacentral:rRNA from 1 species